CCUACGGGAGGCAGCAGUGGGGAAUUUUGGGCAAUGGGCGAAAGCCUGAUCCAGCAAUGCCGCGUGAGUGAAGAAGGCCUUCGGGUUGUAAAGCUCUUUUGUCAGGGAAGAAACGGUGAGAGCUAAUAUCUCUUGCUAAUGACGGUACCUGAAGAAUAAGCACCGGCUAACUACGUGCCAGCAGCCGCGGUAAUACGUAGGGUGCAAGCGUUAAUCGGAAUUACUGGGCGUAAAGCGUGCGCAGGCGGUUUUGUAAGUCUGAUGUGAAAUCCCCGGGCUCAACCUGGGAAUUGCAUUGGAGACUGCAAGGCUAGAAUCUGGCAGAGGGGGGUAGAAUUCCACGUGUAGCAGUGAAAUGCGUAGAUAUGUGGAGGAACACCGAUGGCGAAGGCAGCCCCCUGGGUCAAGAUUGACGCUCAUGCACGAAAGCGUGGGGAGCAAACAGGAUUAGAUACCCUGGUAGUCCACGCCCUAAACGAUGUCUACUAGUUGUCGGGUCUUAAUUGACUUUGUAACGCAGCUAACGCGUGAAGUAGACCGCCUGGGGAGUCGGUCGCAAGAUUAAAACUCAAAGGAAUUGACGGCGUGAGAGAGACGAGGACGACGACGAGGGGAGGAGG
rnacentral:rRNA from 1 species